rnacentral:tRNA from 2 species
AGGUCGGUAGUUUAACUGGUAAAAUCUACGUCUCCAAAACGUUAAGACUAAUGGUUCAAAUCCAUUCCGGCCUG